UCACACUAACUGCUAUGCUACUGUUCUUUCCUCUAGAGCAAGGAUUCCAACCGGGAGAACAUGGACCCCUCGGUUAAUGGCAGAGAUUCACGGCAUUAAAAAAAGGUUGAGAACCCCUGCUUCGAGCAUCAAAGGCUAAGGAGGGAACCGAUGGUUCAUGAGAGGCACAGGGUGGCCAUAGACUUUUUCCCAAGGAGCAUGUGUUUCAGAAACAACAGGAAUUCUGCAGAUGCUGGAAAUUCAAGAAACACACAUCAAAGUUGCUGGUGAACGCAGCAGGCCAGGCAGCAUCUGUAGGAAGAGGUGCAGUCGACGUUUCAGGCCGAGACCCUUCAUCAGGACUAACUGAAGGAAGAGUGUAAAUGGGAGUUAGAGAGUGAAUGAAGUUAGACAGUGGGAAGCCACUGUGAUUCCACAAGUGAAUCAUUCUUAACUAAGCAGAACCGUUGGCUCUUUUAUACAUGUUGUAUGGGAAUGUCCAGAGGUUUUUGGUUUGUGGGGGAAGGUUAUCAGUACUCUAACAGAACUAAUGGGAGUACAAUUACCAAUGGACCCUGCUGUACAUCUUCUAAAUGAUGACUCCCACCUUUCCCUUACGGAAAAAAACACGCAAAAUCUGGCUGGCAGGCCUGACUGCAGCUAAGAAGAUUGUAGUCCAGCGUUGGAGACCUCCCCAUGAUAUUUCAAAUACUCACUGGCUUCAGAGCUUUUUGGACAUUUCUCACCUGGAACUUUCAUCAGCAAGAGUAAAUGAUGCACGA